GUAGCUACAUGGUGAAGUUGUCGAGGGAAGCCAUUUCAACACGAAUUAGCUUAGAAUUAGUCCCUCUAUCCGUUGUGAUAACAAUCUGUAUUCAAAUUGACUCGUCGGUCCCGCACGGCCAUGAGUGCCGGUUUUCCAAAACGGCUGGAUGGAUCCGCGAACUGAAUGUGGUUCCAUAUAGUACUCGAGUCCCUCAAUAAGAACAUGAAAAAAAAUCAGAGGUGGUGUCGCGACUCUAUUUAAGUUUUGUUCAACCCCACCGUGAAAAAUAGCUAAAAAUU